rnacentral:rRNA from 1 species
UACGGGGGGGGGCAAGCGUUGUUCGGAAUUACUGGGCGUAAAGGGCUCGUAGGUGGCCAACUAAGUCAGACGUGAAAUCCCUCAGCUUAACUGGGGAACUGCGUCUGAUACUGGAUGGCUUGAGAUUGGGAGAGGGAUGCGGAAUUCCAGGUGUAGCGGUGAAAUGCGUAGAUAUCUGGAGGAACACCGGUGGCGAAGGCGGCAUCCUGGACCAACACUGACACUGAGGAGCGA